rnacentral:rRNA from 1 species
AAAUUGAAGAGUUUGAUCAUGGCUCAGAUUGAACGCUGGCGGCAGGCCUAACACAUGCAAGUCGAGCGGUAGCACAGAGAGCUUGCUCUCGGGUGACGAGCGGCGGACGGGUGAGUAAUGUCUGGGAAACUGCCUGAUGGAGGGGGAUAACUACUGGAAACGGUAGCUAAUACCGCAUAAUGUCGCAAGACCAAAGAGGGGGACCUUCGGGCCUCUUGCCAUCAGAUGUGCCCAGAUGGGAUUAGCUAGUAGGUGGGGUAACGGCUCACCUAGGCGACGAUCCCUAGCUGGUCUGAGAGGAUGACCAGCCACACUGGAACUGAGACACGGUCCAGACUCCUACGGGAGGCAGCAGUGGGGAAUAUUGCACAAUGGGCGCAAGCCUGAUGCAGCCAUGCCGCGUGUAUGAAGAAGGCCUUCGGGUUGUAAAGUACUUUCAGCGGGGAGGAAGGUGUUGAGGUUAAUAACCUCAGCAAUUGACGUUACCCGCAGAAGAAGCACCGGCUAACUCCGUGCCAGCAGCCGCGGUAAUACGGAGGGUGCAAGCGUUAAUCGGAAUUACUGGGCGUAAAGCGCACGCAGGCGGUCUGUCAAGUCGGAUGUGAAAUCCCCGGGCUCAACCUGGGAACUGCAUUCGAAACUGGCAGGCUAGAGUCUUGUAGAGGGGGGUAGAAUUCCAGGUGUAGCGGUGAAAUGCGUAGAGAUCUGGAGGAAUACCGGUGGCGAAGGCGGCCCCCUGGACAAAGACUGACGCUCAGGUGCGAAAGCGUGGGGAGCAAACAGGAUUAGAUACCCUGGUAGUCCACGCCGUAAACGAUGUCGAUUUGGAGGUUGUGCCCUUGAGGCGUGGCUUCCGGAGCUAACGCGUUAAAUCGACCGCCUGGGGAGUACGGCCGCAAGGUUAAAACUCAAAUGAAUUGACGGGGGCCCGCACAAGCGGUGGAGCAUGUGGUUUAAUUCGAUGCAACGCGAAGAACCUUACCUACUCUUGACAUCCAGAGAACUUAGCAGAGAUGCUUUGGUGCCUUCGGGAACUCUGAGACAGGUGCUGCAUGGCUGUCGUCAGCUCGUGUUGUGAAAUGUUGGGUUAAGUCCCGCAACGAGCGCAACCCUUAUCCUUUGUUGCCAGCGGUUCGGCCGGGAACUCAAAGGAGACUGCCAGUGAUAAACUGGAGGAAGGUGGGGAUGACGUCAAGUCAUCAUGGCCCUUACGAGUAGGGCUACACACGUGCUACAAUGGCGCAUACAAAGAGAAGCGACCUCGCGAGAGCAAGCGGACCUCAUAAAGUGCGUCGUAGUCCGGAUUGGAGUCUGCAACUCGACUCCAUGAAGUCGGAAUCGCUAGUAAUCGUAGAUCAGAAUGCUACGGUGAAUACGUUCCCGGGCCUUGUACACACCGCCCGUCACACCAUGGGAGUGGGUUGCAAAAGAAGUAGGUAGCUUAACCUUCGGGAGGGCGCUUACCACUUUGUGAUUCAUGACUGGGGUGAAGUCGUAACAAGGUAACCGUAGGGGAACCUGCGGUUGGAUCACCUCCUUACCUUAAAGAA